rnacentral:lncRNA from 1 species
AUGCUAGUAAAAAAUAAUUUAGCCAGCUUGCUAAUGUUACUUUUCUUCUCCUCUAAGGAACACAGAACGUUCAGAUGUUGGCGCUUCACCUCACUUACUGAGGAAGGAGACCCACCAGUAAAGAGAAGGUCUGGACCAGACCAAAAAUAUGGCGAUGACAUCAUGGAACUGGUCUUUGGAAAAGUUUUCCCUGAACCAACUCCGUUUCUAGAUGAGGACCAGUUUGAAGCCCACAUACUGCCCCUCCCUCAUCAUCAGGAAACAUCAAUCCGUAUCCUGAGGACAACAGAAGACGGCAGGAGGACAGGAACUCUGAGACCUAGACACCACCAGCACCGAGACACAAAGCACCUGUGUGCACAACGCCUGUUUUAA